GAAUUCGAUUCAGGCCUAACACAUGCAAGUCGAACGAUGAAGCUGGAGCUUGCUCCGGUGGAUUAGUGGCGAACGGGUGAGUAACACGUGAGCAAUCUGCCCUUGACUCUGGGAUAACUGCGGGAAACUGUAGCUAAUACCGGAUACGACACCUUGGGGCAUCCCAGGGUGUGGAAAGAAUUUCGGUCAAGGAUGAGCUCGCGGCCUAUCAGCUUGUUGGUGAGGUAAUGGCUCACCAAGGCGACGACGGGUAGCCGGCCUGAGAGGGUGACCGGCCACACUGGAACUGAGACACGGUCCAGACUCCUACGGGAGGCAGCAGUGGGGAAUAUUGCACAAUGGGCGAAAGCCUGAUGCAGCAACGCCGCGUGAGGGAUGACGGCGUUCGGGUUGUAAACCUCUUUUAGCAGGGAAGAAGCGAAA
rnacentral:rRNA from 1 species